rnacentral:rRNA from 1 species
CAGGUAGUUGGUGAGGUAACGGCCCACCAAGCCUUCGACGGGUAGCCGGCCUGAGAGGGUGACCGGCCACACUGGGACUGAGACACGGCCCAGACUCCUACGGGAGGCAGCAGUGGGGAAUAUUGCACAAUGGGCGCAAGCCUGAUGCAGCAACGCCGCGUGAGGGAUGACGGCCUUCGGGUUGUAAACCUCUUUUAGUAGGGAAGAAGCGAAAGUGACGGUACCUGCAGAAAAAGCACCGGCUAACUACGUGCCAGCAGCCGCGGUAAUACGUAGGGUGCGAGCGUUGUCCGGAAUUAUUGGGCGUAAAGAGCUCGUAGGCGGUCUGUCGCGUCUGCUGUGAAAACCCGAGGCUCAACCUCGGGCCUGCAGUGGGUACGGGCAGACUAGAGUGCGGUAGGGGAGAAUGGAAUUCCUGGUGUAGCGGUGGAAUGCGCAGAUAUCAGGAGGAACACCGAUGGCGAAGGCAGUUCUCUGGGCCGUAACUGACGCUGAGGAGCGAAAGCGUGGGGAGCGAACAGGAUUAGAUACCCUGGUAGUCCACGCCGUAAACGUUGGGCGCUAGAUGUGGGGACCAUUCCACGGUUUCCGUGUCGCAGCUAACGCAUUAAGCGCCCCGCCUGGGGAGUACGGCCGCAAGGCUAAAACUCAAAGGAAUUGACGGGGGCCCGCACAAGCGGCGGAGCAUGCGGAUUAAUUCGAUGCAACGCGAAGAACCUUACCAAGGCUUGACAUAUACGAGAACGGGCCAGAAAUGGUCAACUCUUUGGACACUCGUAAACAGGUGGUGCAUGGUUGUCGUCAGCUCGUGUCGUGAGAUGUUGGGUUAAGUCCCGCAACGAGCGCAACCCUCGUUCUAUGUUGCCAGCACGUAAUGGUGGGAACUCAUAGGAGACUGCCGGGGUCAACUCGGAGGAAGGUGGGGAUGACGUCAAAUCAUCAUGCCCCUUAUGUCUUGGGCUUCACGCAUGCUACAAUGGCCGGUACAAAGGGCUGCAAUACCGUAAGGUGGAGCGAAUCCCAAAAAGCCGGUCUCAGUUCGGAUUGAGGUCUGCAACUCGACCUCAUGAAGUCGGAGUCGCUAGUAAUCGCAGAUCAGCAACGCUGCGGUGAAUACGUUCCCGGGCCUUGUACACACCGCCCGUCAAGUCAUGAAAGUCGGUAACACCCGAAGCCGGUGGCCCAACCCUUGUGGAGGGAGCCGUCGAAGGUGGAUCGGA